CUCCUCACCACAACUCGCCACUCCCCUCUCCCAGCUCGUAGUACCGCUGCGGCGCAGUCUCGGCCGCUCCCUCGCUGAGGAGUGCGAGCCUCGCUCUUGGUCUGCCCGUAUCCCGCGCCGUCGACGUAGGCCGUACGGACCAGAGAAGAAGGCUUCGCCGGACCAACGCACGGCAGCCACCUUCGAACACCACCGCACGGCGCACCGUCCCGUCCUUGACGCUACACACGCGCACGUCCGCGUCGGCAACCAGGAGAAGCCAACGCAUCCGAGACACUGAGUCGAACCGCCCAGACCAUCCCCUUCAUCCCCACGUCGUCCCUUCGUCGCCUCCGUCAAGCACCGGCCGUCCCAGAUUCGGGCAUUAUCGAGUUUGAGGAGAGGAAGGAUUUGAAGAAUUUGAAGAAGACCAGGGACAAUUAGCCAACCAAG